rnacentral:lncRNA from 1 species
CUCAUUGCCAUCACAUACCGUAAACUCAUUUCUCCUCUACCAUUUCUCUGUCCUCCACCCAAAACCCAUUUCACCACAAUUAUCCACCCCUUCCCCCAACACAACCAUCACAUUGUGACAUCCAAGGCACAGCGUCGCCUUACAUAGCUAUAGCACUACGCCUCUGCGCGCGAAGGCAUAACUUUGAAGCUACACAAGGCAGUGCUUCUACAGGUUCUUUGGACAGAAUGGAAUACCGCGGAGGUUAAGAGUAGGUUCAACGUCGCAGAUCGCAUCUAUUCAUAACGAAUCAUUGUUGCCGCCUCACACUCCUUGUACAGCAUCUGAGAUUUGAAACCAGGAUUAGGACCAUGAUUUCAAAUAUGAACAAUAAUUGGUCCAAAGUCGACGCUCAGUUUGCGUCGCUGCAGCUAGGUCACUGUCGAGAAUGAAAUGGUCGGUGGUAGUGGGAUGUUGGGGCUGUGUCUCUUUCUGUGUUGUGGUGGUGGAUCUAUGUUGAUGAUGGUUGCGUUAUUAGGCUAUGUUGGAGGUAGUGGUCACAAGUGGCUUUCUUGUUGCAGCGAUAGUGUUGGUGGUGGUGGUAAUGUGACCGACUAUUUAGUUAUUUCUGAUCAACUAUUUAAUUGUAAUCUAAAAAUUUGAUAAUUUGCGAUUGAAAAAU